rnacentral:rRNA from 1 species
UACGGAGGGUGCAAGCGUUAUCCGGAUUUACUGGGUUUAAAGGGUGCGUAGGUGGGUAAGUAAGUCAGUGGUGAAAUCUUCGAGCUUAACUCGGAAACUGCCAUUGAUACUAUUUAUCUUGAAUACUUUGGAGGUAAGCGGAAUAUGUCAUGUAGCGGUGAAAUGCUUAGAUAUUGUGAGGAACACUAGUGGCGAAGGCGAGACUCUGGACAGUUCCUGACGCUGAGGCACGAAGGCCAGGGGAGCAAACGGG